GUCCGCCGGCGCCGCGGGCCCCUUCUGGGCCUCGGGUUCGCUUCCGGCCGCGGCUUCCGAGGAAGCGGUGUCCGACGCCCGGAGGGCCCCGCGCCGCGCCCCCGCGC
rnacentral:misc_RNA from 2 species